UAAUACGUAGGUGGCAAGCGUUGUCCGGAAUUAUUGGGCGUAAAGCGCGCGCAGGCGGUCUUUUAAGUCUGAUGUGAAAGCCCACGGCUCAACCGUGGAGGGUCAUUGGAAACUGGAAGACUUGAGUGCAGAAGAGGAGAGUGGAAUUCCACGUGUAGCGGUGAAAUGCGUAGAGAUGUGGAGGAACACCAGUGGCGAAGGCGACUCUCUGGUCUGUAACUGACGCUGAGGCGCGAAAGCGUGGGGAGCAAACAGGAUUAGAUACCCUGGUAGUCCACGUCGUAAACGAUGAGUGCUAAGUGUUAGAGGGUUUCCGCCCUUUAGUGCUGCAGCUAACGCAUUAAGCACUCCGCCUGGGGAGUACGACCGCAAGGUUGAA
rnacentral:rRNA from 1 species